rnacentral:rRNA from 1 species
UACAGAGGUCUCAAGCGUUGUUCGGAUUCAUUGGGCGUAAAGGGUGCGUAGGCGGCGCGGUAAGUCGGGUGUGAAAUCUCGGAGCUUAACUCCGAAACUGCAUUCGAUACUGCCGUGCUUGAGGACUGGAGAGGAGACUGGAAUUUACGGUGUAGCGGUGAAAUUCGUAGAUAUCGGGAGGAACACCAGUGGCGAAGGCGGCGAUCUGGGAAGAUACUGACGCUGAGGUGCGAAAGCGUGGGGAGCAAACAGG